UGCNGUCGAGCGCACCUUCGGGUGAGCGGCGGACGGGUGAGUAACGCGUGNGNNUAUGCCCAGAUCUGCGGAAUAGCCUCUGGAAACGGAGAGUAAUACCGCAUACGCCCUUCGGGGGAAAGAUUUAUCGGAUUUGGAUUAGCCCGCGUUGGAUUAGGUAGUUGGUGGGGUAAUGGCCUACCAAGCCGACGAUCCAUAGCUGGUUUGAGAGGAUGAUCAGCCACACUGGGACUGAGACACGGCCCANACUCCUACGGGAGGCAGCAGUGGGGAAUCUUAGACAAUGGGGGAAACCCUGAUCUAGCCAUGCCGCGUGAGUGACGAAGGCCCUAGGGUCGUAAAGCUCUUUCGCCAGGGAAGAUAAUGACGGUACCUGGUAAAGAAACCCCGGCUAACUCCGUGCCAGCAGCCGCGGUAAUACGGAGGGGGUUAGCGUUGUUCGGAAUUACUGGGCGUAAAGCGCGCGUAGGCGGACUUUUAAGUUAGAGGUGAAAUCCCAGGGCUCAACCCUGGAACUGCCUUUAAUACUGGAAGUCUUGAGUUCGAGAGAGGUGAGUGGAAUUCCGAGUGUAGAGGUGAAAUUCGUAGAUAUUCGGAGGAACACCAGUGGCGAANGCGGCUCACUGGCUCGAUACUGACNCUGANGUGCGAAAGUGUGGGGAGCAAACAGGAUUAGAUACCCUGGUAGUCCACACCGUAAACNAUGAAUGCCAGACNUCNGGUAGCAUGCUANUCNNUGUCACACCUAACNGANUAANCNUUCCGCCUGGNGANUACGGNCGCNAGANUAAAACUCAAAGGAAUUNACGGGGCCCGCA
rnacentral:rRNA from 1 species